rnacentral:misc_RNA from 1 species
CUGCCCUCAAGCGCGGCUUGUGUGUUGGGCGUGGUCCCCCCGGGGACCUGCCCGAAAGGCAGCGGCGACGUCCGUCGGGUCCUCGAGCGUAUGGGGCUUUGUCACUCGCUCGGGAGGGACCUGCGGGGGUUGGUCACCACUGAAAUUGUUUCCAU